UACCAGCUGGCUGCAACUGUUUAUUAAAAACACAGCACUGUGCAAACACGAAAGUGGACGUAUACGGUGUGACGCCUGCCCGGUGCCGGAAGGUUAAUUGAUGGGGUCAGCGCAAGCGAAGCUCCUGAUCGAAGCCCCGGUAAACGGCGGCCGUAACUAUAACGGUCCUAAGGUAGCGAAAUUCCUUGUCGGGUAAGUUCCGACCUGCACGAAUGGCGUAAUGAUGGCCAGGCUGUCUCCACCCGAGACUCAGUGAAAUUGAACUCGCUGUGAAGAUGCAGUGUACCCGCGGCAAGACGGAAAGACCCCGUGAACCUUUACUAUAGCUUGACACUGAACAUUGAGCCUUGAUGUGUAGGAUAGGUGGGAGGCUUUGAAGUGUGGACGCCAGUCUGCAUGGAGCCGACCUUGAAAUACCACCCUUUAAUGUUUGAUGUUCUAACGUGGACCCGUAAUCCGGGUUGCGGACAGUGUCUGGUGGGUAGUUUGACUGGGGCGGUCUCCUCCUAAAGAGUAACGGAGGAGCACGAAGGUUGGCUAAUCCUGGUCGGACAUCAGGAGGUUAGUGCAAUGGCAUAAGCCAGCUUGACUGCGAGCGUGACGGCGCGAGCAGGUGCGAAAGCAGGUCAUAGUGAUCCGGUGGUUCUGAAUGGAAGGGCCAUCGCUCAACGGAUAAAAGGUACUCCGGGGAUAACAGGCUGAUACCGCCCAAGAGUUCAUAUCGACGGCGGUGUUUGGCACCUCGAUGUCGGCUCAUCACAUCCUGGGGCUGAAGUAGGUCCCAAGGGUAUGGCUGUUCGCCAUUUAAAGUGGUACGCGAGCUGGGUUUAGAACGUCGUGAGACAGUUCGGUCCCUAUCUGCCGUGGGCGCUGGAGAACUGAGGGGGGCUGCUCCUAGUACGAGAGGACCGGAGUGGACGCAUCACUGGUGUUCGGGUUGUCAUGCCAAUGGCACUGCCCGGUAGCUAAAUGCGGAAGAGAUAAGUGCUGAAAGCAUCUAAGCACGAAACUUGCCCCGAGAUGAGUUCUCCCUGAGACUUUAGGUCUCCUGAAGGAACGUUGAAGACGACGACGUUGAUAGGCCGGGUGUGUAAGCGCAGCGAUGCGUUGAGCUAACCGGUACUAAUGAACCGUGAGGCUUAACCUUACAACGCCG
rnacentral:rRNA from 1 species